rnacentral:lncRNA from 1 species
CGAGGAUGCUGCCCGCCCCUUGCCCGGGCCGGGCUGGAUGGAUGCCUCGGAGCUGCCUCCUCUGCUGCAGCUCCCUGCUCCUCAACAAUCCCCUCGUUUUGUUUUUGCUGUCUGAGUUACCUCCAGAGCAAACAGGAGUUUUCCCGUGUUUGGGGUUCAUCCACAAACCCCUCUGCAGCUUUAGCUGCAGAGUUGGCAAGCAGAGCAUGCUCUGCAUGAGGGCAGAGGAGGCUGAUGCCAGCCUCGGUGCCAGCUCCUCUCACCACAGCCCCUCGGGUGCCAUCUGAGCUAUUUUUCCAGCCAGAGCCAGACUACUUCAUCAUGUCCUCGUAUUGAUGUCACUUGAAAAUCUGAUUGUCAACAUCAUGAAAACAGUGCUAGGAAAAGCCACAAAAUAUUGCACAAGACCCAGAAGGACUGAAAGUUGGAGGAUUUCUUUCAGGGGAUAUAUUGUUUUCACUGGUUUAUCAGACAGACCAUCACUUCCUGCAUCCCAGGGUUAUAAGGACAAGUUCAACUUGCAUCAUCCUUCUCCAUUUCCUCAGCUGGCAUUCAACUUCCAGUUGGAUGCAUCAUCUCCUGCAGCCUCACCCUGUGAGCAGUGUGGAAAGAUUCCAUUCCUG